rnacentral:rRNA from 1 species
AUACGUAUGUCCCGAGCGUUAUCCGGAUUUAUUGGGCGUAAAGCGAGCGCAGACGGUUGAUUAAGUCUGAUGUGAAAGCCCUUGGCUCAACCAAGGAAGUGCAUCGGAAACUGGAGAACUUGAGUGCAGAAGAGGACAGUGGAACUCCAUGUGUAGCGGUGAAAUGCGUAGAUAUAUGGAAGAACACCAGUGGCGAAGGCGGCUGUCUGGUCUGUAACUGACGCUGAGGCUCGAAAGCAUGGGUAGCGAACAGGAUUAGAUACCCUGGUAGUCCAUGCCGUAAACGAUGAAUGCUAGGUGUUGGAGGGUUUCCGCCCUUCAGUGCUGCAGCUAACGCAUUAAGCAUUCCGCCUGGGGAGUACGGCCGCAAGGCUGAA